rnacentral:lncRNA from 1 species
ACGAAGCAAACAGCGUGUUAUUGUGAAAAAAAGAAAAGGUAAAACAUGAGAAGAGUAUAAAGGAAGAGAGUUCAAAUAAAGAACAGAAGACCUCAUGAAAGCUUGAGACUGUGUGCAUUAAUGGAUUUUGUGUCUCUGUUUCUUCCGUUUUUCGUUCUCAAGCUUGUUAUUAAAUUAAAGUACCCUGAUUCCUUAAUAAUUAGAAGUCUCUUCCACGCCACCAUCAUUCGCCACUACUACCACCAUCAUCACCAUUGAUCGAAUCCUCUCUGUAACUUCUUUCUUCCCUAUAUUAUGCUACAAAUUGCUUCAAUUCCUUCCCCAGGCUUCAAUUUUGUUUUCUCUAGUUUUAGAUUUCCAUAAUUCUGUAACCAAAAUUUUCUUUUUGUUUGUAAUUUUAAUUAUAUCUGGUCCCUUCUUCACUGUCAAGUGUCAGAGAAACCCAUUUGAUUUUGCUACGUUUAUCUUGUAGUUGGCGAUUCUGAGCUCUGGAUUCUACAAAUAUAUAAAAUCUUGAAACUGUUGAGUUUUGAGUAUUAUCCAGCUUGCAACAAUGCCAGGCUUAGUCUCAGCAAAAAGCCCAGCCAAUGCAACGCCGUUACAAGAUUUACUCCGCCAAAGCGACAGUAAAACGCCAUCUCCGCUCCUAAAGCGAACGCCGCCACCCUCCUCCAACCUAAGAGCCAUACUCUCCAAAAAGACUCCAGAGAAGCUAACCGUCGAUGAAUCCUCUUUCGACAAUCCGGAUCUGGGUCCCUUUCUGUUAAAGCUCGCCAGAGAUACCAUUUCUUCCGGUGACAACCCGGAUAAGGCCUUGGAUUAUGCAUUUCGUGCAUCCAUGUCAUUUGAAAGGUGUUCGGGUUCGGGUCUGGAGCUGUCCAUGAGCCUACACGUGCUAGCAGCGAUUUAUUGCAGUUUGGGCCGGUUCGAGGAAGCGGUUCCGGUUCUAAAGCGUUCCAUUGAGGUUCCGAAUGUUGCUAACGGGUUGGACCAUGCGUUAACGAAGUUUGCCGGGUACAUGCAGCUUGGUGACACGUAUUCUAUGCUGGGACAGCUAGACAUAUCCAUCUCGUGUUACGAAUCGGGUUUGAAGAUACAGAUUGAGGCUCUCGGGGAUUUGGAUCCCAGAGUUGCAGAAACAUACAGGUAAUUUUUUUUUUUUUUAAUAAUUUGUUAAUAAUUUAGCCCUGUCCUUAUAACGUAGAUCCAUCUUCUCAAAAAUAGUAAACAUAUGCGCAUAAAUCAAUCUAUCACACAGCAGCAAUUAGAGUUGUAUUUAUAUAUCACUUUUUCAUUUUACAGAAAAUUAAAUAAAAUUCUACGAAGCAAGACUAUCCAAGAAGAGGAAGAACCAAGAGAAAAGAGAUUACCUCAGGAAUCACCGUCACCGGAGGCACACAGCAGCAAAUGAAUAAACGAAAUUGAAAGAGGACUUAUGAAUUCGAAAACGAAGAUCUAAAACGCACCGUUUCCCCAAAACGUGCCGUUUUUUUAGACAGUGGCAAAAUGGCAAUAUAAAAGAAAAUUAUGGACCGUGUAACAUGGUAUACGGACGUGGCUAGACGCAGCGACUGGACUGGAGCUGGUGUUGCUAAAGGACGAAGCAAACAGCGUGUUAUUGUGAAAAAAAGAAAAGGUAAAACAUGAGAAGAGUAUAAAGGAAGAGAGUUCAAAUAAAGAACAGAAGACCUCAUGAAAGCUUGAGACUGUGUGCAUUAAUGGAUUUUGUGUCUCUGUUUCUUCCGUUUUUCGUUCUCAAGCUUGUUAUUAAAUUAAAGUACCCUGAUUCCUUAAUAAUUAGAAGUCUCUUCCACGCCACCAUCAUUCGCCACUACU